rnacentral:misc_RNA from 1 species
GAUGAAGAACGUAGUGAAAUGCGAUACGUAAUGUGAAUUGCAAAUUCAGUGAAUCAUCGAGUCUUUGAACGCACAUUGCGCCCCCUGGUAUUCCGGGGGGCAUGCCUGUCCGAGCGUCAUUGCUGCCCUCAAGCACGGCUUGUGUGUUGGGCCCCGUCCUCCGAUCCCGGGGGACGGGCCCGAAAGGCAGCGGCGGCACCGCGUCCUGUCCUCGAGCGUAUGGGGCUUUGUCACCCGCUCUGUAGGCCCGGCCGGCGCUUGCCGAUCAACCCAAAUUUUUAUCCAGGUUGACCUCGGAUCAGGUAGGGAUACCCGCUGAACUUAAGCAUAUCAAUAAGCGGAGGA